rnacentral:rRNA from 1 species
GACGAACGCUGGCGGCGUGCCUAAUACAUGCAAGUUGAGCGCUGAAGGUUGGUACUUGUACCAACUGGAUGAGCAGCGAACGGGUGAGUAACGCGUGGGGAAUCUGCCUUUGAGCGGGGGACAACAUUUGGAAACGAAUGCUAAUACCGCAUAAAAACUUUAAACACAAGUUUUAAGUUUGAAAGAUGCAAUUGCAUCACUCAAAGAUGAUCCCGCGUUGUAUUAGCUAGUUGGUGAGGUAAAGGCUCACCAAGGCGAUGAUACAUAGCCGACCUGAGAGGGUGAUCGGCCACAUUGGGACUGAGACACGGCCCAAACUCCUACGGGAGGCAGCAGUAGGGAAUCUUCGGCAAUGGACGAAAGUCUGACCGAGCAACGCCGCGUGAGUGAAGAAGGGUUUCGGAUCGUAAAACUCUGUUGGUAGAGAAGAAAGUUGGUGAGAGUGGAAAGCUCAUCAAGUGACGGUAACUACACAGAAAGGGACGGCUAACUACGUG